UUUUUUUUUUUUUGGCAAAGUUUUCUCUAAUAUUUUUGCAGGACUAGUGUUUUUAAUUAGUUUUUUUUUUCUUAAAUUUAAAAGCUGCUGAUUCAGGCUCUUUCUGAUAUUAAUGGUUCUAAGUUUCACUUUGCCACUGUGUCUGUGGCAUGUUUUGCACAGAAUCAGUAUUUUUUUUUUUCCUUCACCUGCCUUGCCACUGUGUGACCUUAAGGCAGUAUCUUAUUCUUUUCAGGUCUCAGUUUACCCACCUCUAAUAAGGAGCUAAAUAAUGCAGGAUUUUUUUUAAUAAGAUUUGAAUAAUAGAUGUCUGAAAAGCUUUUAGAUUUAGGAUUUGAAACCACUCUGUAGUUGGCAGUGAUAAUAGUAGCAAUGGCUUGGAUUAACAGAGAGCUUUUCUUCCAAAAGCUCUGAUCUCUUUUAUAUUCUUCCGUUUGUCCUCAGAACACCCUUACGAAGUAAGAAUGAGAAAGUAUCGGCUUUCUCAGUUGGCAGGUGAAAAAAAUGAAAGAGAGAAAUGUUGGAAUGAGUACUAAUUUUCUUCCAUUUUAAAUUUAUUUUUUAUUAAAAUAGAGUUGAUUUACAGCAUAUGCCAAUUUCUGCUGCACGGCAACAUGACCCAGUCAUACAUACAUAUAUACAUGAUUUUUCUCAUAUUGCCUUCUGUCAUGUUCUACCACAAAUGAUUGGAAUAAUUCCCUGUGCUAUACAGUAGAAUCUCAUUGAUUACUCAUUUUAAAUGUAAUAGUUUGCAACUACAAACCCCAAACUCCCUGUCUAUCCCACCUCUCCCUCUCCCCGUGGGCAGCCACAAGUCUGUUACCCAUGACUGUGGGUCUGUUUAUGUGCUGUAGAUAGGUUCAUUUGUGCCAUAUUUUAGAUUCAACAUAUGGUAUUUGUCUUUCUCUUUCUGACCUACUUCACUUAGCAUGAGAAUCUCUAGUUGUAUCUGUGUUGCUACAAAUGGCACCAUUUCAUUCUUUUUAUGGGUGAGUAAUAUUCCAUUGCAUGUAUGUGGCACAUCUUGAUACAUUCAUCUGUCGAUGAGCAUUUAAGUUGUUUCCACAUCUUGGCCACUGUGAAUAGUGUGGCAGUGAACUAUAAUAUUUUGAAUUAUAGUUUUGUCCAGAUGUAUGAUCUUCUGAUUCCAGGAGCUCUUCCUGAUUGUAUAAUGGCCAACCCAUUUCCACUGCAAGCUUUGCAGGAGUGGGCAAACUUCUCAGGGAGGCUGUCUGUACAAGCUGUGUGCAUCAUUAAUUUAUGUCUUCAAUUGAAUUAGAAACCUUUUUGCAUCUCUCACUUAUUUUCCUGUUGACUGCUGCCCUUCCGUUUAGAGGGUGUCCAUUUGUUUCAGGGCUCAAUGCAAUCAGUGAAUAGAGAAAUCCAUGUUAUUUUCACCCCCUGUGCCAGUGAUUACAUUGUUAUCAUCCUGGAUAAGCCCUUGUAGCAGACGUACAAAUGUCAUUAUGCUGCGGUGCAGGUUAUCCACAGGCAGGCAUGGUGGUUUUCAGAGGGCUUCCACCCGUGGCAGUGUGGAACUGAAAACCAAUCACUCCUCUCCUGAGAGCAUCACAAUUUCUGCAGCUGAAAUGGAAAUUGACAGGAGACAUUAGAUACAGCUGUACCUGAUCAUCGAGGGAUAAAUUAUUUUGUGUAAUUGUUGGAGCCUUGCUAGGACCUAAUGGAAUGAACAUGUUGUUUUCCACACCCGUGGGUACAGAUAGUCCUGGCAAAUAUUGUGUGCUUGGAUUUAAAGAUGUGGGAGACAGCCUGUUGACAAUGAGAAAAAUUAAUUUGAACUGCUGAUAAGGAAGGAAAACAUACACAAUGAAUUAAAUUUAAUAGACUGAAAAAAAAAAUGGUUCUCCUGACUAUUUCCAUGUGGGAAUAUGUCAGACUUCAUUUAACUCAAAUAACUACGGAUAUUAAGGACGGCUACACUGCAGCCUCUGUUGGAAUAUUCUGUGUGGCAAUUUGGUGCAUCAGUCUUGGGCAUUAUUUUGGUUAAACUUUUAAUGUAAAAUGUAAUGAUGUGUAUCCUGAGCAGAAUAGAGAGUGGUUGGUUGUCAGGGACAAAUCUGAUAUUGUUUCUGCUCUCUCUCCCUCGCGGUUGUGCAUUUCCAGUAAUGAACAGUAGAGUGAGGCGAGGCUCUGGUCGGGCUGUGCCUUUCUGAAAUCCUAAGAAGAGAGAUCUGAUCUCCGGAAGGGGAGUAGGGUUUUACAACUAAGAUCUCACUCCAAAUAAUGUUUGCUUUCAGAGUUCCCUUGUGGUGCAGCAGAUUAAGGAUCCAGUGUUAUCACCGCUGUGGCUUAGGUCACUGCUGUGGCUCAGGUUGUGGCUUGAGUUCGAUCCCUGGUCUGGGAACUUUCACAUGCCGCUGGCAUGGCCAAAAAAAAAAAA
rnacentral:lncRNA from 1 species